rnacentral:lncRNA from 1 species
UCGUCUAUCAAUACUAUGUCAUCAGCAAAUAGCAUACACCAAGGCACAUUUCCUUGAAUAUGUCGGGUAAGAGCAUCCAUCACCAAGGCAAACAAGAGAGGGCUAAGCGCCGAUCCUUGAUGGAGCCCCAUGACCACUGGAAAAUGGUCUGAGUCGCCACCCACCGUCUUAACCCUAGUCUUAGCUCCAUCGUACAUGUCCUUAAUUACUCUGAUGUAGGCUUCUCAGCAAAUAGCAUACACCUAGGCACAUUCCCUUGAAUAUGUCGGGUAAGAGCAUCCAUCGCCAAGGCAAACAAGAGAGGGCUAAGCGUUGAUCCUUUAUGGAGCCCCAUUACCACUGGAAAUGGUCUAAGUCGCCACCCACCGUCCUAACCCUAGUCUUAGCUCUAUCGUACAUGUCCUUAAUUACUCUGAUACAGGCUUCUGGCACGCUCUUUGCCUCCAAGCACCUCCCUUGGGACCUUGUCAUACGCCUUCUCCAAGUCGAUUAACACCAUGUGCAGGUCCUUCUUCUUAUCCCUGAACUGUUCCACCAGCCGCCUGACAAGGUGGAUAGCUUCUGUAGUGGAGCGACCCGGCAUGAAACAGAACUGGUUCACAUAUAUAGAUGUCGUAUCCCUCACCCCCGCCUCAAUCACCCGCUCCCAUAACUGAACUGGUUCACAGAUAUAGAUGUCAUCUCCCUCACCUCGCCUCGAUCACCCGCUCCCAGACCUUCAUGGUAUGACUUAUCAAUUUGAUACCCCUUUAGUUGUUGCAACACUGGAUGUCACCUUUCUUCUUGUACAAGGGCACCACUGUACUCCACCUCCACUCCUCCGGCAUCUUUUUGGUCCUGAAGGCUGCGGCCACUAUCCCCAACCGAUUACGGAAAAUAGUGAUGCACCCAUGUAUUACAGCGGAGUACGCAAAAGGAUGCAAGCUAGGAAUCGACAAAGUAAACCACACACAGGGUGCUUAGAUAGAAAACGUAAAAAG